GAGUUCAAGUCGCAAAGGGAUCCCAAGGAUCAUCUGUCAAGAAUGUCAAUAUCCAUGCUGGGAUGAUAUGCAUUCAAAUGCAAACCAUUUGAGGAAGACCAAUUUACCAAUUUUUUAUUGAAAUCAAAAUUUGGCCAACAGACCUUUCAAGUUUGAAACUUAUAUUGAAUUGGCACCAGAAACAUUUCUCCUGGGAAUACUAAAAAGGGCCUACGGGAAAAAAAAGAAGUAUCUAAUAAUACAUAUUACAACAGCUGCCAGACUGAUAUAUGCACAAUACUGGAAAGAAAAGGGAUUACCACCAGAAGAGCAUAUAAUUAGGAAAGUAUUUGAAUGAGUGGAGAUGAGUAAAUUAACUCAUGAGAUAAACGAGGAUGAAAAUUCUGACUACUAUACUGUAUGGGAAGGGUGGUAUAAAUGGAUGGAUGAUAAAAUAAAGGAAGGAGUA